AACGCAUCUUGCACUAUUCGGCUUCCCCGGAUAGUAUGCCUGGUUGAGUGUCUGUGUAUCUCUCCUAUAUCAAUCUUUUUUGGUUGAUUGUAGGGACUUGGGGUUAUUCUCGUCGGUAUACUCUAACCAGUAUCCCGGUGAACCCUUUAAAUGUAGCAAGCUCCCAUCUUUCAUCGGAAAUACGCAAACUUGGGGAUGGCGUCGUAGCAAUCACUCUUAUCAGUAUUGUCGAAGCGCCUAUAUCAUACCUCUAAUCUGCGGUGCUAAUCCUUUAUCAAUGGGCGAAGCUUGACGACUGGCAAAGUGCCAUGCUCCCUUAUUUUGGAGUACACCGAACAAUAAUGACCUCAACUCAGGUAGGACGACCCGCUGGACUUAA
rnacentral:misc_RNA from 1 species